GCCAACAGCUAGCUCUCUGCAACUCGCACAUGGUUGCCCACUGAAGCCAAGCAGGGCUGAGCCAGGUCAGUUCAUGGAUGGGAGACCACAUUCGAAAGCUAGGUUGCUGUUAGUG
rnacentral:rRNA from 1 species